rnacentral:rRNA from 1 species
GGGGAAUAUUGGGCAAUGGGCGAAAGCCUGACCCAGCAACGCCGCGUGAGGGAAGAAGGUCUUCGGAUUGUAAACCUCUGUCCUUGGGGACGAAGGAUGUGACGGUACCCAAGGAGGAAGCUCCGGCUAACUACGUGCCAGCAGCCGCGGUAAUACGUAGGGAGCGAGCGUUGUCCGGAAUUACUGGGCGUAAAGGGUGCGUAGGCGGCAUGGCAAGUCAGAUGUGAAAGCCCCGGGCUUAACUCGGGAACUGCAUUUGAAACUGCUGUGCUUGAGUGCAGGAGAGGAAAGCGGAAUUCCUAGUGUAGCGGUGAAAUGCGUAGAUAUUAGGAGGAACACCAGUGGCGAAGGCGGCUUUCUGGACUGCAACUGACGCUGAGGCACGAAAGCGUGGGGAGCAAAC